GAUUUAUUAGAACAAAACCAACCGGCUAUGCCGGUAGUUUGGUGACUCUGGAUAACUUUGCUGAUCGCACGGCCUUGAGCCAGCCACGUAUCUUUCAAGUGUCUGCCCUAUCAACUAUUGAUGGUAGGUUACAUGCCUACCAUGGUGAUGACGGGUAACGGGGAAUCAGGGUUCGAUUCCGGAGAGGGAGCCUUAGAAACGGCUACCACAUCUAAGGAAGGCAGCAGGCGCGCAAAUUACCCACUCUCGGAUAGAGGAGGUAGUGACGAAAAAUAACAAUACAGGACUCUAUGAGGCCCCGUAAUUGGAAUGAGAACAUUCCAAACAGAUUAUCGAGUACCAAUUGGAGGGCAAGUCUGGUGCCAGCAGCCGCGGUAACUCCAGCUCCAAUAGCGUAUAUUAAUGCUGCUGCAAUUAAAAAGCUCGUACUUGGAUCUCAUGACGGAUCUGGCGGCACCUCGUUUGGGGUUUCAGCUGUCAGUAUCCUCCUAACGAGCUGAAUGUUGUUGCAUGUGCUCUUUAUUGGGUGGGUGUAACGCUCAGCAUGUUUACUUUGAACAAAUUACAGUGCUCAAA
rnacentral:rRNA from 1 species